UACAGAGGGUGCAAGCGUUAACCGGAAUUACUGGGCGUAAAGGGCUCGUAGGCGGCCAACUAAGUCAGACGUGAAAUCCCUCGGCUUAACCGGGGAACUGCAUCUGAUACUGGAUGGCUUGAGUUCGGGAGAGGGAUGCGGAAUUCCAGGUGUAGCGGUGAAAUGCGUAGAUAUCUGGAGGAACACCGGUGGCGAAGGCGGCAUCCUGGACCGACACUGACGCUGAGGAGCGAAAGCCAGGGGAGCAAACGGG
rnacentral:rRNA from 1 species